AACGGCGGCGAUGACCUGCGGAUAGGGGUGAAAGGCCAAUCAAACCCGGAGAUAUCUCGUUCUCCCCGAAAUAGCUUUAGGGCUAGCGUCGCGCGUUCACCGCCGGAGGUAGAGCACCGGAUGGACGAGGGGGCUUCGCCGCCUACCGAAUCCAACCGAACUCCGAAUGCCGGCGGCCCAGAGCGCGGCAGUCAGAGCAUGUGGGCUAAGCUGUGUGCUCGAGAGGGAAACAGCCCGGACCGCCCGCUAAGGUCCCCAAGUUCCAGCCGAGUGGCAAAGGAUGUGCGUCCGCCCAGACAACCAGGAUGUUGGCUUAGAAGCAGCCAUCCAUUCAAAGAGUGCGUAACAGCUCACUGGUCGAGUGGACAUGCGCCGACAAUACACGGGGCUAAGCUGGACACCGAAGCGGCGGGAUUUUGAUUUACAGAAUCGGUAGGGGAGCUUCCCAUGGGCGGAGAAGCCGGAGGGCGACCGACGGUGGAGCGCAUGGGAGUGAGAAUGCUGGCAUGAGUAGCGAGAGACGAGAGAGUAACUCGUCCGCCGUGAACCCGAGGUUUCCUGGGCAAGGCUAAUCCUCCCAGGGUCAGUCGGGGGCUAAGGCGAGGCCGGGAGGCGUAGCCGACGCGCAGCAGGCAGACAUUCCUGCACCGCGCACGCGGCGCUACGACCGACGGGGCGACGGAUGGGGGUGGCUCGGCGGGGUUCUGGACGUCCCCGUGAUGGAGCGCGGCCCGCGGACCAGGGAAAUCCGGUCCGCAUUGAGGGCGAGGCUCCGGACGAAGCGAUUGAGCGAAGCGAGUGAGCCCGAGGUCCCUAGAAAAACCCCUAGGCAGGCGCGUGCGCGCCCGUACCGCAAACCGACACAGGUGGGUGGGUAGAACAUACCGAGGCGAUCGGGUCAACCAUGGUCAAGGAACUCGGCACAAUGGCCCCGUAACUUCGGGAGAAGGGGUGCCCGCGCGUACGUGAACCGGCUUGCCCGGGGAGCGGAGGCGGGCCGCAGUGGAGAGGCCCAAGCGACUGUUUACCAAAAACACAGGACUCUGCAGAAGCCGCAAGGCGACGUAUAGGGUCUGACGCCUGCCCGGUGCCGGAAGGUUACGCGGAUGCGUUAGCACUCGUGCGAAGCGCUGAAGCCAAGCCCCGGUAAACGGCGGCCGUAACUAUAACGGUCCUAAGGUAGCGAAAUUCCUUGUCGGGUAAGUUCCGACCUGCACGAAAGGCGCAACGACUUGGGCGCUGUCUCGACCAUGGACCCGGUGAAAUUGCACUGGUCGUGAAGAUGCGACUUACCCGCGGAAGGACGGAAAGACCCCGUGAACCUUCACUGCAGCUUGGCAUUGGCCGCUGGUCCCGCGUGUAGAGGAUAGGCAGGAGGCAUCGAUCCGGAGGCGCCAGCCCCCGGGGAGCCGCCCUUGGAAUACUGCCCUCGCGCGACCGGCGUCCUAACCCGAGGCCGUCAACCGGCUCGGGGACCGUGCCAGGCGGGCAGUUUGACUGGGGCGGUCGCCUCCUAAAGGGUAACGGAGGCGCGCGAAGGUCCGCUCGGGACGGUCGGCAACCGUCCUUUUGAAUGCAAGAGUACAAGCGGGCUUGACUGCGAGGCCCACAAGCCGAGCAGGUGCGAAAGCAGGCUCUAGUGAUCCGGCGGCCCCGAGUGGGUGGGCCGUCGCUCAACGGAUAAAAGGUACUCCGGGGAUAACAGGCUGAUCUUGCCCAAGAGUCCACAUCGACGGCAAGGUUUGGCACCUCGAUGUCGGCUCAUCGCAUCCUGGGGCUGGAGCAGGUCCCAAGGGUACGGCUGUUCGCCGUUUAAAGCGGUACGCGAGCUGGGUUCAGAACGUCGUGAGACAGUUCGGUCCCUAUCCGGCGUGGGCGUAGGAUAUCUGAGAGGAGCUGUCCUUAGUACGAGAGGACCGGGAUGGACGGACCGCUGGUGGACCGGUUGGCUUGCCAAAGCCAUGGCCGGGUAGCCAAGUCCGGAAGGGAUAAACGCUGAAGGCAUCUAAGCGUGAAGCCCCCCUCAAGAUGAGAUAUCCCAUUCU
rnacentral:rRNA from 1 species